GUGCCAGCCGCCGCGGUAAUACGAAGGGUGCAAGCGUUAAUCGGAAUUACUGGGCGUAAAGCGUGCGUAGGCGGUUUGUUAAGUCUGCUGUGAAAUCCCCGGGCUCAACCUGGGAAUGGCAGUGGAUACUGGCAAGCUAGAGUGUGUCAGAGGUGGUGGAAUUCCGGUGUAGCGGUGAAAUGCGUAGAGAUCGGGAGGAACAUCAGUGGCGAAGGCGGCCACCUGGGACAACACUGACGCU
rnacentral:rRNA from 1 species